GACAUAGGUCGCGAACGUUAUCCGGAAUUAUUGGGCGUAAAGGGUGCGUAGAUGGCGUGAUAAGUUAAUAAUGGGAAAUCAGAGCUUAACUCUGUGGAAGUUAGUAAUACUGUUAUGCUAGAGGAUAGGAGAGGUUAACGGAACUCCAUGUGGAGCGGUGAAAUGCGUAGAUAUAUGGAAGAACAUCAAUUAUGGCGAAGGCAGUUAACUAUUCUAUUCCUGACGUUGAGGCACGAAAGCGUGGGGAGCAAAAAGG
rnacentral:rRNA from 1 species